rnacentral:rRNA from 1 species
CCUACGGGUGGCAGCAGUAGGGAAUAUUGCUCAAUGGGGGAAACCCUGAAGCAGCAACGCCGCGUGGAGGAUGAAGGUUUUAGGAUUGUAAACUUCUUUUCUGAGGGACGAAGAAAGUGACGGUACCUCAGGAAUAAGCCACGGCUAACUACGUGCCAGCAGCCGCGGUAAUACGUAGGUGGCAAGCGUUAUCCGGAUUUAUUGGGUGUAAAGGGCGUGUAGGCGGGAAAGCAAGUCAGAUGUGAAAACUCAGGGCUCAACCCUGAGCCUGCAUUUGAAACUGUUUUUCUUGAGUGCUGGAGAGGCAAUCGGAAUUCCGUGUGUAGCGGUGAAAUGCGUAGAUAUACGGAGGAACACCAGUGGCGAAGGCGGAUUGCUGGACAGUAACUGACGCUGAGGCGCGAAAGCGUGGGGAGCAAACAGGAUUAGAUACCCCAGUAGUC